rnacentral:sRNA from 1 species
UUUUCGCGUUAGGGAUAGUAGCGGCAUCCUUUUUGUGCGGUGUUAGCACCCUUUAUUUGCAAAACAAAUUACUGGGGGAACUGUUAUUGGUUGAGAUACCGAAAACAAAUUCGGCACAAAAAGAUACAGCGUAUAGCCCGACCUGUU